rfam:Xenopus laevis strain J chromosome 9_10S, whole genome shotgun sequence.
CCAAAGGCUCUUUUCAGACCCACCCACACAGACAUUAUCAAGAGCU